UGGGGAAUAUUGCACAAUGGGCGCAAGCCUGAUGCAGCCAUACCGCGUGUAUGAAGAAGGCCUUCGGGUUGUAAAGUACUUUCAGUCGGGAGGAAGGUGUCAAGGUUAAUAACCUUGGCAAUUGACGUUACCGACAGAAGAAGCACCGGCUAACUCCGUGCCAGCAGCCGCGGUAAUACGGAGGGUGCAAGCGUUAAUCGGAAUUACUGGGCGUAAAGCGCACGCAGGCGGUUGAUUGAGUCAGAUGUGAAAUCCCCGGGCUUAACCCGGGAAUUGCAUCUGAUACUGGUCAGCUAGAGUCUUGUAGAGGGGGGUAGAAUUCCAUGUGUAGCGGUGAAAUGCGUAGAGAUGUGGAGGAAUACCGGUGGCGAAGGCGGCCCCCUGGACAAAGACUGACGCUCAGGUGCGAAAGCGUGGGGAGCAAACAGG
rnacentral:rRNA from 1 species